rnacentral:rRNA from 1 species
CCUACGGGAGGCAGCAGUGGGGAAUUUUGGACAAUGGGGGAAACCCUGAUCCAGCCAUCCCGCGUGUGCGAUGAAGGCCUUCGGGUUGUAAAGCACUUUUGGCAGGGAAGAAAAGGCUCUGGUUAAUACCUGGAGCUGCUGACGGUACCUGCAGAAUAAGCACCGGCUAACUACGUGCCAGCAGCCGCGGUAAU